UACGGGGGGAGCAAGCGUUGUUCGGAUUUACUGGGCGUAAAGGGCGCGUAGGCGGUCGUGACAAGUCACUUGUGAAAUCCCCAGGCUUAACCUGGGAACUGCAUCCGAUACUGGAUGGCUUGAAUCCGGGAGAGGGAUGCAGAAUUCCAGGUGUAGCGGUGAAAUGCGUAGAUAUCUGGAGGAACACCGGUGGCGAAGGCGGCAUCCUGGGACCAACACUGACACUGAGGAGCGAAAGCCAGGGGAGCAAACGGG
rnacentral:rRNA from 1 species